rnacentral:misc_RNA from 1 species
UUAAGUUACGCCACAUAUAUUGCACUAGAACCUUCUUUGUUUCAAUGUCAUUUCUAGUUUUUUUUUAGGUUCUAGAGCUUUUCUAGUUUCCAUGACAAGUCACAAGUAUCAUAAGUGCGGUCCAUUAUUCAGUUCCUUCAUAAAUUAUGUGAGCCCAAGAGUUUCUUUUUGCGUUAAUCCUCCGUAAAUCAUCGAGGAAAAUGCCCCCAUGAAACUGUAACGUCUAACUUCCAUCUAAUAUUUCAGAUAUUGACAGUUUAAUCCUUUACAUGGGUUCUGCUACAAAAAAGUUAUGAAAUUUCUUUGGAUGUUGUCAAAAUAUCAGAACUGGUCAAAGGGUGGCCAAUUCCAAUUCUCAGGGCAGAUGUACUGUAAUGUUCUUGACUUGUUAUUUUCAUGUUCUAAAGAAACCAUAGUUGCUACGAUUUGGACAAUUAUAAACUAAUUUCAUGUUUUGGAAUGAACGACAUGAAGUAACAGUAACAAAAUUGUAGGUAAUAACAUUAGUUUCUGGAUAUUCUAGGCACUUGAAAGUAAUUUCUGCAAUACAUAGGUUUCUUCAAGGACCUGAAA